UACGAAGGGGGCUAGCGUUGCUCGGAAUGACUGGGCGUAAAGGGCGCGUAGGCGGAUGGCACAGUCAGAUGUGAAAUUCCCGGGCUUAACCGUGGGGCUGCAUUUGAUACGUGUGAUCUAGAGUGAGGAAGAGGGUCGUGGAAUUCCCAGUGUAGAGGUGAAAUUCGUAGAUAUUGGGAAGAACACCGGUGGCGAAGGCGGCGACCUGGUCCUUGACUGACGCUGAGGCGCGAAGCGUGGGGAGCAAACAGG
rnacentral:rRNA from 1 species